ACAGAUGCUGACGCGGAGGGACAUUACCGAGUUUACAACUCCCAAACCCCUGUGAACAUACCAAUUGUUGCCUCGGCGGAUCAGCCCGCUCCCGGUAAAACGGGACGGCCCGCCAGAGGACCCCUAAACUCUGUUUCUAUAUGUAACUUCUGAGUAAAACCAUAAAUAAAUCAAAACUUUCAACAACGGAUCUCUUGGUUCUGGCAUCGAUGAAGAACGCAGCAAAAUGCGAUAAGUAAUGUGAAUUGCAGAAUUCAGUGAAUCAUCGAAUCUUUGAACGCACAUUGCGCCCGCCAGUAUUCUGGCGGGCAUGCCUGUUCGAGCGUCAUUUCAACCCUCAAGCCCUCGGGUUUGGUGUUGGGGAUCGGCGAGCCCUUGCGGCAAGCCGGCCCCGAAAUCUAGUGGCGGUCUCGCUGCAGCUUCCAUUGCGUAGUAGUAAAACCCUCGCAACUGGUACGCGGCGCGGCCAAGCCGUUAAACCCCCAACUUCUGAAUGUUGACCUCGGAUCAGGUAGGAAUACCCGCUGAACUUAAGCAUAUCAUAAAGCCCGGAAGAA
rnacentral:rRNA from 1 species